UACGGUCCAGACUCCUACGGGAGGCAGCAGUAGGGAAUCUUCCACAAUGGACGAAAGUCUGAUGGAGCAACGCCGCGUGAGUGAUGAAGGUUUUCGGAUCGUAAAACUCUGUUGUAAGGGAAGAACAAGUGCGUUAGGUAAUGAACGCACCUUGACGGUACCUUAUUAGAAAGCCACGGCUAACUACGUGCCAGCAGCCGCGGUAAUACGUAGGUGGCAAGCGUUGUCCGGAUUUAUUGGGCGUAAAGCGCGCGCAGGUGGUUUCUUAAGUCUGAUGUGAAAGCCCACGGCUCAACCGUGGAGGGUCAUUGGAAACUGGGAGACUUGAGUGCAGAAGAGGAUAGUGGAAUUCCAAGUGUAGCGGUGAAAUGCGUAGAGAUUUGGAGGAACACCAGUGGCGAAGGCGACUGUCUGGUCUGUAACUGACACUGAGGCGCGAAAGC
rnacentral:rRNA from 1 species